rnacentral:rRNA from 1 species
CUGGUUGAUCCUGCCGGACCUGACUGCUAUCGGAUUGGUUCUAAGCCAUGCGAGUCGUUGUACAAUACAAGGCGGACUGCUCAGUAACACGUAGUUAACUUAACCUAUGGAUGGGAAUAACCUCGGGAAACUGAGAAUAAUACCCAAUGGGCCACAGUGCCUGGAGUGGCCUGUGGUUGAAAUGAUUUAUCGCCGUAGGAUAGGACUGCGGCCUAUCAGCUUGUUGGUGAGGUAAUGGCCCACCAAGGCUAUAACAGGUACGGGCUCUGAGAGGAGGGGCCCGGAGAUGGGUACUGAGACACGGACCCAGGCCCUAUGGGGCGCAGCAGGCGAGAAACCUUUGCAAUGUGCGAAAGCACGACGAGGUUAAUCCGAGUGUCUCCUGCUAAAGGAGUCUUUUGUCAGUUGUAGAAUCACUGGUGAAUAAGGGGUGGGCAAGUUCUGGUGUCAGCCGCCGCGGUAAAACCAGCACCUCGAGUGGUCAGGAGGUUUAUUGGGCCUAAAGCAUCCGUAGCCGGUUGCAUAAGUUCUCGGUUAAAUCUAUGCGCUUAACGUAUAGG